UACGUAGGGUGCGAGCGUUGUCCGGAAUUAUUGGGCGUAAAGAGCUCGUAGGCGGUUUGUCGCGUCUGCUGUGAAAACCCGAGGCUCAACCUCGGGCCUGCAGUGGGUACGGGCAGACUAGAGUGAUGUAGGGGAGACUGGAAUUCCUGGUGUAGCGGUGAAAUGCGCAGAUAUCAGGAGGAACACCGAUGGCGAAGGCAGGUCUCUGGGCAGUAACUGACGCUGAGGAGCGAAAGCGUGGGGAGCGAACAGG
rnacentral:rRNA from 1 species